GCAGAGAGCAGAGGAGUUGUUCAAUGGUGUGGAGUUUUAAAGCUCUGGUGUACAGUAAUGUACAAAUACAGCUGACACCACUGCAUUCUAAACUUUAAGAAGAAAUAAGAUGGACAAGAAAACAAGAACCUCUGGAGACACAUCUCCAGGUAGCAGCAUUUUGUAAAAUCUUUCUCUGUGAAUCGAGUUCAAGGCUGGAGAACACUAACUCUCAUGAUUCACUUCACUGGAAUUAUCUGAGGAAGUUUUAAAAUGACAAGGACUUGAAUCCACCCUCACAAAAUCCCGAUUUCAUUGAGCACUGUGUGAACACACUCCAGAUAAAAAGUAUUCUUUUCCCCCUGGACAACAAGAUAAUUUUAAAAUUACAAUUCUUUAUACUUCUGUUUUCUGAAGAUUCUACCAAAUUUGGAAUGGAGAUGGAACAAUUGGACGCCAUCUGCAAUUUCGCUCACAGGGAGGGGAUCUCGUGGUCGAAUUCUCUCUACCCACGAUUACUUGAGCUAUUUGACCAAUGACUCGGCAUCCCAGGGAAAACUGUUUUCUCCUUGCUCCUCCCAGGACUCCCAUGAGUGCCCCAGAAAUGCCCAUAAUUCAAUGUUGAUAAUCGAGACCCAGUUCAGGUGACCUGAAUCUUAUCCCCCAGCAUGAACUGGUUUCUUAAACGAUUUACUUAUAAAGAACACAAAGGUCUAAAAGCUUCAUGGAACACUUUCUACAAACACUGUGAAGGCACCCCACAUUAAAUCUACUGCCCCCAGAGUACA